GAUGUUCCGCGUAAAGAUUGGAAGAGAGACCGAAAAUAUGAAUCGCGAUUUUUUUAUAAUAUACGUGCGUUAGCAAGAAAGAGAGACGAAGCUUUUCUAUUCGACGUUGGUCUGUUUUUCACUCU
rnacentral:ribozyme from 1 species